rnacentral:rRNA from 1 species
GAUGAACGCUGGCGGCGUGCCUAAUACAUGCAAGUCGAGCGAACAGACGAGGAGCUUGCUCCUCUGACGUUAGCGGCGGGCGGGUAAGUAACAAGUGGAUAACCUACCUAUAAGACUGGGAUAACUUCGGGACACCGGAGCUAAUACCGGAUAAUAUAUUGCACCGCAUGGUUCAAUAGUGAAAGACGGUUUUGCUGUCACUUAUAGAUGGAUCCGCGCCGCAUUAGCUAGUUGGUAAGGUAACGGCUUACCAAGGCAACGAUGCGUAGCCGACCUGAGAGGGUGAUCGGCCACACUGGAACUGAGCCACGGUCCAGACUCCUACGGGAGGCAGCAGUAGGGAAUCUGCCGUAAGGGGCGAAGGCUUGACGGAGGAAGGCCGCGUGAGUGAUGAAGGUCGUCGGAUCGUAAAACUCUGUUAUGAUGGAAGAACAAAUGUGGAAGUAACUAUGCACGUCUUGACGGUACCUAAUCAGAAAGCCACGGCUAACUACGUG